rnacentral:ncRNA from 1 species
AUCUUCAGGGCGGGGCGCGAUUCCCCACCGGCGGUACAGCCCGCGAGCCGUAAGGCAUGAUCCGGUGAGAUUCCGGAGCCGACCGUAUAGUCGGGAUGGAAGAAGAU